rnacentral:rRNA from 1 species
UACAACGCUGGCGGCGGUGCCUCAGACAUGCAAGUCGAACGAUUAAAGCUCUCUUCGGAGAGUGUAUAGAGUGGCGCACGGGUGAGUAACACGUAAGUAAUCUACCCUCGAGUGGGGAAUAACAACCGGAAACGGUUGCUAAUACCGCAUAAUGCAGCGGCACCGCAAGGUGACAGUUGUUAAAGAUUUAUCGCUUGAGGAGGAGCUUGCGGCAGAUUAGCUAGUUGGUAGGGUAACGGGCUUUACCAAGGCUACGAUCUGUAACCGGUCUAAGAGGACGGUCGGUCACACUGACACUGAAUAACGGGUCAGACUCCUACGGGAGGCAGCAGUCGAGAAUUUUGGGCAAUGGGCGAAAGCCUGACCCAGCAACGCCGCGUGAAGGAUGAAGUAUUUCGGUAUGUAAACUUCGAAAGAAUAGGAAGAAUUAAUGACGGUACUAUUUAUAAGGUCCGGCUAACUACGUG